GGAGAUUUACCCAAGUGGUUGAAGGGGUCGGUCUUGAAAACCGAUAGGGGGUGCAAGCCCCGCUAGGGUUCAAAUCCCUAAAUCUCCGCCA
rnacentral:tRNA from 1 species